rnacentral:rRNA from 1 species
UACGUAGGGUGCAAGCGUUAAUCGGAAUUACUGGGCGUAAAGCGUGCGCAGGCGGUGAUGUAAGACAGAUGUGAAAUCCCCGGGCUCAACCUGGGAACUGCAUUUGUGACUGCAUCGCUGGAGUGCGGCAGAGGGGGAUGGAAUUCCGCGUGUAGCAGUGAAAUGCGUAGAUAUGCGGAGGAACACCGAUGGCGAAGGCAAUCCCCUGGGCCUGCACUGACGCUCAUGCACGAAGCUGGGGAGCAAACAGG